CGUUUGUGAAAGCCCUGGGCUCAACCUGGGGAGGCCAAGCGAUACUGGAGGACUUGAGGGUGACAGAGGGGAGUGGAAUUUCCGGUGUAGCGGUAAAAUGCGCAGAUAUCGGGAGGAACACCAGCGGCGAAGGCGGCUCCCUGGGUCACACCAGACGCUGAGAGGCGAAAGCUAGGGGAGCGAACAGGAUUAGAGACCCUGGUAGUCCUAGCCCUAAACGCUGGAUGCUAGGUGUGGGAUCGAGAGGUUCCGUGCCACAGCUAACGCGAUAAGCAUCCCGCCUGGGGACUACGGCCGCAAGGCUAAAACUCAAACGAAUUGACGGGACCCCGCACAAGCAGCGGAGCGUGUGGUUUAAUUCGAUGCUACACGAAGAACCUUACCUGGGAUGGACAUGGAGGUGGUAGGGAGCCGAAAGGCGACCGACUCUUCGGAGAGCCUUCACAGGUGCUGCAUGGCUGUCGUCAGCU
rnacentral:rRNA from 1 species